UACAGAGGGUGCAAGCGUUAAUCGGAAUUACUGGGCGUAAAGCGUGCGUAGACGGUCAUGUAAGUCGGGGUGUGAAAGCCCCGGGGCUCAACCUGGGAAUUGCAUUCGAGACUGCAUGGCGUAGGAUGCGGAAGAGGGAAGCGGAAUUUCCGGUGUAGCGGUGAAAUGCGUAGAUAUCGGAAGGAACACCAGUGGCGAAAGCGG
rnacentral:rRNA from 1 species